rnacentral:rRNA from 1 species
AACCCUUGUCCUUAGUUACCAGCACGUUAUGGUGGGCACUCUAAGGAGGACGUGCCGGUGACAAACCGGAGGAAGGUGGGGAUGACGUCAAGUCAUCAUGGCCCUUACGGCCUGGGCUACACACGUGGCUACAAUGGUCGGUACAAAGGGUUGCCAAGCCGCGAGGUGGAGCUAAUCCCAUAAAACCGAUCGUAGUCCGGAUCGCAGUCUGCAACUCGACUGCGUGAAGUCGGAAUCGCUAGUAAUCGUGAAUCAGAAUGUCACGGUGAAUACGUUCCCGGGCCUU